rnacentral:rRNA from 1 species
UACGUAGGGUGCGAGCGUUGUCCGGAAUUACUGGGCGUAAAGAGCUCGUAGGUGGUUUGUCGCGUUGUUCGUGAAAACCGGGGGCUUAACCCUCGGCGUGCGGGCGAUACGGGCAGACGUUGAGUACUGCAGGGGAGACUGGGAAUUCCUGGUGUAGCGGUGGAAUGCGCAGAUAUCAGGAGGAACACCGGUGGCGAAGGCGGGUCUCUGGGCAGUAACUGACGCUGAGGAGCGAAAGCGUGGGGAGCGAACAGG